rnacentral:sRNA from 1 species
UUGAAUAGAGAAGCAAGUCAAGUUGGCUGCGGAGAAAUGCAAUGCAAAAAAAACAUUAGAGUUGUUGUUUGUGGAUUCGACAAACAAUUGAGUCAAACUGAGAGCAAGAAGCCAGGGUCUUAAAGUCACUGUAAGAAAAAUAAAGAUACAGUUUCACAUUGGCUGCAAAAAU